UUGUACAUGCUAAAUUUAUAAUCAAUAUACAAGUUUGGACAGUAACCCAUCAAUGUAGUCCUCUUUAAAAAGGGAAGCAUCACCUUUGAAGCAAGCUAAGCAUGUGGUCGAUUUUCCCAAUCCACAGCCUUCUCCUCCUCGGGUGUUAUCAGUUUCAUGUGGUCGAUCCCGCAGAUCCUUUUACGCAUUACCACCAAAAAAUAUCGUUGAUUCUUCUCCGCCGCCAUCCCUUCCUUCUCACAGCACAAGUCAAGCAGUGCAAUUAACAAGGUCCUACAAUGAAACAACUAAACUGAGAACUCAUAAGCCUGUGCAAAUUCUAGGGGAGGAUUGAGAAUGGGCAAAUCUUCUUAUAGGAUAUAUACACCUACAAGUAGAUCGGAAGACAAGAUAUCAAAAUGUACAUCGCAUUGUAGAGUAACUCGAAUUUGUAAAGCUGAUUCUAGAGCUGAAGUUAUCCAGUGUCGACAAAGGGAACUUUCAUAGUGGAUCAAAGUAAAGACAAAGAGAACUUCUGCAGUCAAGGAAUUGCUUUUGCUGUGCGCAAGGAUGUGCAAUCAUUGAACUAGUAAGCACCUGCAUUUCAUCAUUUCUUUCUUGUAUCUUUUUCCAAGUAACUUUUGCUGCUGACAACUUGUACACUCAAGUCUUAUACAACACUGAAAGCUUUUCCUCUUGUUCUGUUGAUAAUAUGAUAAAAUCUACCAUUGGGAAGUGUAUGGUAUAGCCUUGAAGGCUACAGCUCAUAUGGGAAACUCAAUUUAAUAUUGCUUAUCCAAAAGCAGAACCGUAGACUGAGGCUGCCAUAAGCAAAGAAGGCAUUGCUCAUUAUUAGAAUUAUAGGCGUUGUAAUUGGAAGUUCUUUAUGAGGUUCAAGGUCCUUGAGAAUGGGAGUUUGUGCUGGGACUACUUCCAAAGAAGUGGUCAAGAAGCAGGAAAGGAACCUGAUAUCAUGAUCAGUUGGUCACUGAGAUCCCCAUUUUUCUGAGUUUGAAUUACAAAUGUUCUUCACUCACUAUCUGUGCUCUAUGCUUUCCUUUCCUUUUAGAAGUUCAUAUGUCAUAAUGUCAGUGAGUAAUGUGUGAUUAAGUGUAAAAUGGAAAGAUGUUGUCAUACUUGAGAUGUUCUUGGACACAACCAUCAGUAGACAAUAGUUAUUGCUUAUUUCUCUCAAAAUAAG